GCGGGAGUGGCUCAGUGGACUACUACGCCGGUCUUGAAAACCGGUGGGAUCAUCCCUCGGGGGUUCGAAUCCCUCCUCCCGCG
rnacentral:tRNA from 1 species